UACAGAGGUCUCAAGCGUUGUUCGGAUUCAUUGGGCGUAAAGGGUGCGUAGGUGGCAUGGUAAGUCGGAUGUGAAAUCCCGGGGCUCAACCCCGGAACUGCAUUCGAUACUGCUGAGCUAGAGUACUGGAGAGGAGAUUGGAAUUUACGGUGUAGCAGUGAAAUGCGUAGAUAUCGUAAGGAACAUCAGUGGCGAAAGCGGCUUCCUGGACCAGAACUGACGAUCAGGCACGAAAGCGUGGGGAGCAAACAGG
rnacentral:rRNA from 1 species